rnacentral:rRNA from 1 species
GAUGAACGCUGGCGGCGUGCUUAACACAUGCAAGUCGAACGGAAAGGCCCAAGCUUGCUUGGGUACUCGAGUGGCGCGCGGGGGAGAAACACGUGUGUGAUCUGCCCUGCACUUCGGGAUAAGCCUUGGAAACUGGGGCUAAUACCGCAUAUGACCACUUCUACGGCGUUGUGGUGGAAAGUUUUGUGGGUGUGGGAUGAGUUCGCGGCCUAUCAGCUUGUUGGUGGGGUGAUGGCUUACCAAGGCGUCGCCGGGUAGCCGGCCUGUGGGGGUGGACGGCCGCAUUGGCACUGAGAGGCGGCCGAGGCAGCUACGGGGGGCAGCUGUGGGGAAUCUUGCACAAGGGGCGCCAGCCUGGUGCAGCGGCUCCGCGUGGGGGAUGACUGCGUUCGGGUUGUAAACUACUUUCGCAAGGGACUAGGCGGGUUGUGACGGUACCUGGAGAAGAAGCACCGGCUAACUACGUG